UUCCUCGCAUACCGAUUGACGGCCCCAGUCAUCAGACAGAAACCUGGUCGUUCUGAGAUUAUACUGUCAUAACUUGAUCUAGAUAAUACUAGCGAAAGGACAUGCGUGGCACUGAUUG
rnacentral:ncRNA from 1 species